GAUGAAGAACGUAGCGAAAUGCGAUAAGUAAUGCGAAUUGCAGAAUCCGUGAGUCAUCGAAUCUUUGAACGCACAUUGCGCCCCUUGGUUAUUCCGAAGGGCAUGCCUGUUCGAGCGUCAUUAUCACCCCUCAAGCCCUGGCUUGGUGUUGGACUUUAGUUAUGGCUUUGCCUAUCAACUGGUCUCAAAGAUAGUGACGGCGCCCCAGAGGGAACCGGGUAUGAGGAGCUUUUUACUAAGCAUGUAUCUGGGACGACUCUGAUGGGCGACGGUCUUGUUAUACUUUUUACCUAAGUGUUGACCUCGGAUCAGGUAGGAAUACCCGCUGAACUUAAGCAUAUCAAUAAGCGGAGGA
rnacentral:misc_RNA from 1 species